CCUCUGUUUAGUCCUGGGUAAGUUGUUCUCGGAAUCGUAGUCUUGGUCGUAAUAGUAUCUCUUAGAUCUUGAUCUGUCCAUGUCUGUUUAGGGUUUCAAAUCAAAUCUGGAAGUGAAAUUCCACUGAGUUGCUGCCAGUUUUAGGGUUUUAUUGAGAAUCGUUUACUGUUUUGCUGUAAUUUGUUCGUUUUAGGGUUUCAAUAUCAAAUCUGGAAGUGAAAUUAAGGUAUUAGAGUAGUGUUAGGGUUUUUCUUGAGAAUCGUGUAAUGUUUUGCUACAAUCUGUACAAAACCCUAGAGGAGGGGAGAAAGGGAAACUGAGUUGAGUAGAGCCAGUUAUAAUGAGGAAAAUGUACAUAAUAACGAAGCUUCAGCUUAUGCUCCUCCAUCUGCUGUUGUUCAUCAUUUUUAACUUUAAUGCUUUUGUAGAUUCAAUUUUUGUUUGCUUUACUUUCUCCAUUAGUGUGAGCAGCUGCUGCUGCAUUUUAUAAUCGUGAUUCCCAACC
rnacentral:lncRNA from 1 species